rnacentral:rRNA from 1 species
CUACGGGAGGCAGCAGUGAGGAAUAUUGGACAAUGGAGGCAACUCUGAUCCAGCCAUGCCGCGUGCAGGAAGACUGCCCUAUGGGUUGUAAACUGCUUUUAUAGAGGAAGAAACCUCCCUACGUGUAGGGAGCUGACGGUACUCUACGAAUAAGGAUCGGCUAACUCCGUGCCAGCAGCCGCGGUAAUACGGAGGAUCCAAGCGUUAUCCGGAAUCAUUGGGUUUAAAGGGUCCGUAGGCGGGCAGUUAAGUCAGUGGUGAAAGUCUUCCGCUCAACGGGAGAAUUGCCAUUGAUACUGAUUGUCUUGAGUCAUUAUGAAGUGGUUAGAAUGAGUAGUGUAGCGGUGAAAUGCAUAGAUAUUACUCAGAAUACCGAUUGCGAAGGCAGAUCACUAAUAAUGUACUGACGCUGAUGGACGAAAGCGUAGGUAGCGAACAGGAUUAGAUACCCUGGUAGUCUACGCCGUAAACGAUGGUUACUAGCUGUUUGGACGAUUGAGUCUGAGUGGCUAAGCGAAAGUGAUAAGUAACCCACCUGGGGAGUACGUUCGCAAGAAUGAAACUCAAG